ensembl:lncRNA
GUGGGCUCAGAGUCAGGACAGGCAGAGUGGUCAGGCAGGUGGGCUCAGAGUCAGGACAGGCAGAGUGGUCAGGCAGGUGGGCUCAGAGUCAGGACAGGCAGAGUGGUCAGGCAGGUGGGCUCAGAGUCAGGACAGGCAGAGUGGUCAGGCAGGUGGGCUCAGAGUCAGGACAGGCAGGUGGGCUCAGGGUCAGGCAGGUGGGCUCAGAGUCAGGACAGGCAGAGUGGUCAGGCAGGUGGGCUCAGAGUCAGCACAGGCAGAGUGGUCAGGCAGGUGGGCUCAGAGUCAGGACAGGCAGAGUGGUCAGGCAGGUGGGCUCAGAGUCAGGACAGGCAGAGUGGUCAGGCAGGCGGGCUCAGAGUCAGGACAGGCAGAGUGGUCAGGCAGGCGAGCUCAGAGUCAGGGCAGGCAGAGUGGUCAGGCAGGCGGGCUCAGAGUCAGGACAGGCAGAGUUGUCAGGCAGGUGGG